CGUGGAUACAUGACGCACUAGAUAAUACUGAUCUGUUGGAGCUUGUGUGUGUUCACUGUUUCACAAUGGCUGCACACAUGCAAAGGGAGGGAAGUGCAAGCAAAUACAGGAUAUGGGUUUACAAGACCGAAGUGCAUCAUUGUCGCACACACUCCCACAUCCUCAGAGUUAUUACUCUGCUGGUUUCAAUGGCCCACUGCUGCAAAAUUCAAUCCUAAAACCUUCAUAUUAGAGUUAACGGUGUGGCUUUCACACUCAUUGUGUUUCCAAGGAGGAUUGCUGCUUGAUCUACACAGCUAACUGAGAAAGCAUUUGAAGAUGAUGCGAUUGCCGUUCCUGUGUCUCCUGCUUCUGCUUCCAGCUGUUACUGGUGUUGCAGACGAUUUCGAAGGGUCAGCUUUUGAAGAUGAUGAUGAGGAUUCAGUCCAGAAAAGUGUGCGAGGUGGACUUCCUGGCACAGCUGUGGACAAGACCAUAGGUUAUGAUGAAAGCUAA
rnacentral:lncRNA from 1 species